GACGAACGCUGGCGGCGUGCUUAACACAUGCAAGUCGAACGGCAGCAUAAUCCUAGCUUGCUAGGAUGGUGGCGAGUGGCGAACGGGUGAGUAACGCGUAGGAAUAUACCUUAAAGUGGGGGACAACUUGGGGAAACUCAAGCUAAUACCGCAUAAUUUCUUCGGAAAAAGCUGGGGACCGUAAGGCCUGGCGCUUUAAGAUUAGCCUGCGUCCGAUUAGCUAGUUGGUAGGGUAAGGGCCACCAAGGCGACGAUCGGUAGCUGGUCUGAGAGGAUGGCCAGCCACACUGGGACUGAGACACGGCCCAGACUCCUACGGGAGGCAGCAGUGGGGAAUCUUGCGCAAUGGGCGAAAGCCUGACGCAGCGACGCCGCGUGAGGGAUGACGGCCU
rnacentral:rRNA from 1 species